GUUAUUUUAAAAUUUGAUUUUCCAAUAUUUUCUUUGCUAGUAUACAGCAUAUAUAGAAAUACAUAAAUAAUUGUAUGAUCAAGCCACCCAAGAUGGCUCUUCUCUUGCUCGCUGUACAACCCCUGCCCGACCAGUCCUCCUUCAUCUACACACUACUCACAUCACCAACCUUCCCUCCUAAUACAUACUUGCCCCCGGCCCCAGCUAGUGAUUGUUCUAAUCUUUAGAUCAGAGCACCUCCACGGUGAUAGCUUAUCAAAGGGACGGUGAGGGACGUGCCCCUCUGCUUGUUUCCCUGGUAACCGAUGAGCCAACCUGAUGUCAAUUCCCCCUAUAACCGGUGACCUCCCCGAGCCCUGGGAGCAAAGACUACUACCAUGUCCUGCCCGCUGUCUGCCGCACACCGUGGAGUGUUGCUCCAGGACAUGUAAGCUCCUCCAUCCAUUAAACCACUGAUGUCUGUGUCGCUCACUUCAGGCUCUUUCUUCGGUCUCGAGGCUGGGCAAGUGCAGGGCUUGCAGGCCUGUAGGGUGCAACGCAACAGUAAUACAUAGGGGUAUGCAAUCCAUAUGGAAUUGAUUUUUAUGUAUGGUAUGAGGGUUUCACAGAUGUGAUUUCAGGAUGGAGUUGGAAAAGUGAGAGUCCACUACUGCAGAAGAAACAAAAGGACAGGUUCCUCUUCAGCUAUAUAAUACCAUAAAUAAAUGAUCAUAUUCGCCACUUUUUGAAAUUACGAUGGCUAUCCUCAAGGGGAAAUUGGAAGAGGUGGAUUUCGAAUUGCCAAAAUAUCUUGGCCUGUUUUUAGUUUCCUGAACAAGGUGCUGAGCUAGAGGAGCUCUGAAGUCCAUUGCAUCUCAAGGUUUUUAGUCUCCCUGACCAGAGAGCACAAGGGAAGCCGGCAGCCAUUUCGGGGCUGAUGGAGGUGUGCUGGGUUUACAAAUGCCAAGCUGGCAAGCCCCAAGCUGGCUCCAUGGGGUGAGCCUCUGCUCUCUGGACAUGCUGGAAGCCACCCCCAAUUAGGACAUAACCUGCACUGAGGUUAAUUACUGAGGAUAUGGGUACCCUGUGGGUAUUUUCAGAAAUGCCGAAGUUCACACUCUGUGGUUGUUUGACUGUAAUGGCUAAUAAACUUUAACAAUGUUUUUGCAAGGAACUUUAUGACGAACACCAUACUAGGCUGAUUGUAUGGCAUUGUUAAUGGUGUCUUCAUGAAAUUUAUUACAUAUAUUU